GUGCUCGCUUCAGCAGCACAUAUACCAAAAUUGGAACAAUACAGAAAGUAGCAUGGCCCUUUCACAAGGAUGACAUGCAAGUUUGUUCUGCGAAGCGUCCCACAGUUAA
ensembl:snRNA U6 U6 spliceosomal RNA